rfam:Triticum aestivum genome assembly, contig: Triticum_aestivum_CS42_TGACv1_scaffold_603290_7DL
CAUAUACUCCCUCCGUCCGAAAAUACUUGUCCUAGAAACGGAUAAAAUGGUAUCUAUAACUAAAAUAGGUCUAGAUACAACAAUUUCUAGGACAAGUAUUUCCGGACGGAGGGAGUAUGUC